UACGGAGGGUGCGAGCGUUGUCCGGAAUCAUUGGGCGUAAAGGGCGCGUAGGUGGCCCGGUCAGCGUGCGGUGAAAGCUCGGGGCUCAACCCCGAGUCGGCCGUGCGAACUGCCGGGCUAGAGUCCGGAAGAGGCGAGUGGAAUUCCUGGUGUAGCGGUGGAAUGCGCAGAUAUCAGGAGGAACACCAAUAGCGAAGGCAGCUCGCUGGGACGGUACUGACGCUGAGGCGCGAAAGCGUGGGGAGCGAACAGG
rnacentral:rRNA from 1 species